GACGAACCGUGCUAACGUUAUUCGGAAUCACUGGGCUUAAAGCGCGUGUAGGCGGGACGGCACGUCGGUCGUUGAAAGCCCCCGGCUCAACCGGGGAAUGGGCGCCGAUACGACCGUCCUGGAGGGACGUAGGGGGACCUGGAACUUCCGGUGGAGCGGUGAAAUGCGUUGAGAUCGGAAGGAACGCCCGUGGCGAAAGCGAGGUCCUGGACGUUUUUCUGACGCUGAGACGCGAAAGCCAGGGGAGAGCGAACGGG
rnacentral:rRNA from 1 species